AGAGAGAGACAUGCGCGCAUAUCAAUAAGCGGAGGAAAAGGAACUAACAAGGAUUCCCCUAGUAACGGCGAGUGAAGCGGGAAGAGCUCAAAUUUGAAAUCUUAAAGGGUUUCCCUUUACGAAUUGUAGUUUAAAGAAGUGUUUUCUGUUGAGGUUUUGGUAAAAGUUCUUUGGAAUAGGACAUCAUAGAGGGUGAGAAUCCCGUAUUUGACCUUUACUUUCAACUUUGUGAUACACUUUCAAAGAGUCGGAUUGUUUGGGAAUGCAGUCCAGAAUGGGUGGUAAAUUUCAUCUAAAGCUAAAUAUUGGCGAGAGACCGAUAGCGAACAAGUACCGUGAGGGAAAGAUGAAAAGAACUUUGAAAAGAGAGUUAAACAGUACGUGAAAUUGUCAAAAGGGAAGCGUUUGACACCAGUGUUGUUUUUCUGAAAAUCAAUUAAAGAACUGUUUAUGCUAAGCUGUUUAGACUUUAUCAGCUAACUGUUUAGUUUUGAGCUUUUCUUUAAUGCACUUUUCAGUUAACAAGUCAACAUCAAUUUCUUUUGCUGUAAAAAAGCUUGAGGAAGGUGGCUUGAGAUUCGUCUUAAGUGUUUAUAGCCUCUUGCCUAUGCAGUCGGAGAGAUUGAGGUCUGCAGCGUAGAUCCUUCGGGGCUAAAUGCAUUUGUGCUAAGUUAUAGCAUUUUAUAGACAACUUGUUGACUAUGAUUUGUCUUGUAGCUUACUCGCUUAUGUUAUUUUACCUACGCUUAGGAUGUUGACGCAUGAGAUAUACGC
rnacentral:rRNA from 1 species